rnacentral:rRNA from 1 species
AUACAGAGGGCUCAAGCGUUAAUCGGUAUCACUGGGCUUAAAGGGUGCGUAGGCGGACCUGUAAGUGUUUUGUGAAAUCCCACGGCUCAACCGUGGAAUUGCUUGGCAUACUGCAGGUCUUGAGGUCGGUAGGGGCUGCCGGAACUCUAGGUGUAGCGGUGAAAUGCGUAGAUAUCUAGAGGAACGCCAAAGGUGAAGACAGGCAGCUGGGCCGAAUCUGACGCUGAGGCACGAAAGCGUGGGUAGCGAACGGGAUUAGAAACCCCAGUAGUCC